rnacentral:rRNA from 1 species
CCUACGGGCGACAGCAGUGAGGAAUAUUGGUCAAUGGGCGCGAGCCUGAACCAGCCAAGUAGCGUGAAGGAUGACUGCCCUACGGGUUGUAAAUUUCUUUUAUCAAGGAAUAAAGUGAGGCAUGUGUGCCUUUUUGUAUGUACUUUAUGAAUAAGGAUCGGCUAAAUCCGGGCCAGCAGCUGCGGUAAUACGGUGGAUCCGAGCGUUAUACGGCUUUAUUGGGUUUAAAGGGAGAGUAGAUGGGUUGUUAAGGCAGUUGUGAAAGUUUGCGGCUCAACUCUAAAAUUGCAAUUGAUAACGGCAACCUUGAGUACUGUUGAGGUAGGCGGAAAUCGUGGUGUAGCGGUGAAAUGCUUAGAGA